GAUGAACGCUGGCGGCGUGCCUAACACAUGCAAGUCGAGCGAUUCUCUUCGGAGAAGAGCGGCGGACGGGUGAGUAACGCGUGGGUAGCCUGCCCUGUACACACGGAUAACAUACCGAAAGGUAUGCUAAUACGAGAUAAUAUGCUUUUAUCGCAUGGUAGAAGUAUCAAAGCUCCGGCGGUACAGGAUGGACCCGCGUCUGAUUAGCUAGUUGGUAAGGUAACGGCUUACCAAGGCGACGAUCAGUAGCCGACCUGAGAGGGUGAUCGGCCAGAUUGGAACUGAGACACGGUCCAAACUCCUACGGGAGGCAGCAGUGGGGAAUAUUGCACAAUGGGCGAAAGCCUGAUGCAGCAACGCCGCGUGAGCGAUGAAGGCCUUCGGGUCGUAAAGCUCUGUCCUCAAGGAAGAUAAUGACGGUACUUGAGGAGGAAGCCCCGGCUAACUACGUGCCAGCAGCCGCGGUAA
rnacentral:rRNA from 1 species